UGGGGAGUAGCCAAGUGGUAAGGCAGUAGCUUUUGGAGCUAUGUACCGGGGGUUCGAAUCCCUCCUCCCCAGCCA
rnacentral:tRNA from 1 species